AUUACUCAGUAGAGCCCAUGCUUCCAAGAGUUCAAUAUGGCGGCCUACAAGACUAGAAUUUAUGCAUCUUUUUAAUCAAAAUGAUCCGCUGUUAUCGUACUCUAUCGUCGGAUGAGUAUAAAUUCAAUCAUUGGGUUUAGCUUUCUCUAAUCAUGUUGUGCAUGCGAGUUGGUUUUGGUCGUGUGCUAUGGAGGAGGUCACUGAACUCAAACCGUUCGCUUUCUGGGAGCACGAGUAUCGAUGUAUUCGAUCGUAAAGCCAAACGACGUCAGAGGAACAGAGCCGCAAUGGCAGAUGACGUACAUGUAUAUGACUACCUCAAGGAUGAGGUUGCACAUCGUUUAGCUGAUAGAAUCGGGGAUAUUGCAAGGCACUUCCCCAUGGCUAUGGAUUUAGGGUGUGGAAGAGGACAUCUGAACAAGCAUUUAUCAAAGGAUCAAAUUGGAAAGCUUGUUCUUCUUGAUUCUGCAGAAAAAAUGCUGAAGCAAUGCCAGGAGAAUGAAGUGCAAUUAUUGAAGGUCCAUGGGGAUGAAGAAUUCCUCCCGUUUGAAAAAAACACAUUUGACCUGGUUGUUAGCAGCUUGAGUUUGCACUGGGUUAAUGAUCUUCCUGGAACCUUUCACCAGGUAUUAUCAUGUUUGAAACCAGAUGGAGCCUUUGUUGGAGCCAUGUUUUCAGGCGACACGCUGUUUGAGCUACGUUGUGCUCUCCAGAUUGCAGAAAUGGAAAGAGAAGGAGGUUUUGCUGCUCAUGUUUCUCCUUUUACUGAGAUGCGAGAUAUUGGGAAUUUACUGACAAGGGCUGGCUACAGUCUCACUACCAUUGAUUCAGAUGAAAUAAGUGUGGGUUACCCAAGUAUGUUUGAACUGAUGCAUGAUCUAAAAGGUAUGGGUGAGAAUGGUGCUUCAAGGACUAGAAAAAACAUUCUACACCGUGACACUUUACAAGCAGCAACUGCUAUUUACAAAGAGAUGUAUGGCUUAGAGGAGGGAGGAAUACCAGCAACCUUCCAGAUUCUAUAUUUUAUUGGCUGGAAACCGUCACCAACUCAGCAAAAGCCUUCUGAUCGAGGCUCGGCUACCCGGAGUUUAGCAGAUUUGGAUACGCUUGACUCAUUAGACGAUAUGACUUCAGCAGAUGACAACUAAUACUCUAUGAAUUGAUACUUUGUCUUGGGUGGAUCGUACAAAGCACUGACCCUCAAUGAGGAGGUCCAUGGACCGACUAGACCCUCAUAUUGAGGCAUCAUGGUUUCAAGGGAAGACGACCUGACGUCAUGCAACACCUGUUUCAGCAUUCCCAGCAAAAAUUUGCUCCAUUCAACGGAAGAGGAUAACUUCCCUUCCGCAACGGAUAUUGGGUUACCCUAGUGAUUUCAAGUGGUGAUAGCUGUAAGCCGGGUGAAGAUCCUCCAGUCAGGCACACAAUAUCGGAUUUCAAGAUUAUAUACUAACAAAUACACAUCGUAAAAAAUAAAGGGUUAAAGCUUUA